rnacentral:rRNA from 1 species
CAUUACUGAGUGAGGGCCCUCUGGGUCCAACCUCCCACCCGUGUUUAUUGUACCUUGUUGCUUCGGCAGGCCCGCCUCACGGCCGCCGGGGGGCUUCUGCCCCCGGGCCCGCGCCUGCCGGAGACAAUCUUGAACGCUGUCUGAAGAAUGCAGUCUGAGCGAUUAAGCAAAAUUAGUUAAAACUUUCAACAACGGAUCUCUUGGUUCCGGCAUCGAUGAAGAACGCAGCGAAAUGCGAUAAUUAAUGUGAAUUGCAGAAUUCAGUGAAUCAUCGAGUCUUUGAACGCACAUUGCGCCCCCUGGUAUUCCGGGGGGCAUGCCUGUCCGAGCGUCAUUGCUGCCCUCAAGCACGGCUUGUUUGUUGGGUCUUGUUCCCCCGGGAACAGGCCCGAAAGGCAGUGGCGGCACCGUCCGAUCCUCGAGCGUAUGGGGCUUUGUCACCCGCUCUGUAGGCCCGGCCGGCGCUUGCCGACCCCAAUCAAUCUUUUUCAGGUUGACCUCGGAUCAGGUAGGGAUACCCGCUGAACUUAAGCAUAUCAA